rnacentral:rRNA from 1 species
AUGAAUUCAAAUUAUAAACUCGUGGUGCCAGAGCAGUAUGACCGCGUCAUAUCUGCAGAGCUCCCGGACAGGCAUAAGUAUCCAGAGCUCUAUGCCAUGGUCGUGAAGCAUAUGAUGCACGGCUCAUGUGGCAAUCUUAAUCCCAAAAAUGUGUGCAUGCAAGACUUGAAGUGCAAGAGCAAGUACCCACGACCGUUCAACCAGAACACCUUACAGGGGAAGGAUUCAUACCCGGUUUAUCGACGGCGGGACGAUGGUCGUCAGGCUAAGAUCCGCCGUCAAAUGCUGGAUAACAGAUGGGUCGUGCCUUACAACCCGUAUCUGUUGCGGAUGUUCAACUGCCACAUAAAUGUCGAGGUGUGCUCCAGCAUCAAGGCCGUCAAGUACCUUUACAAAUAUGUAUACAAGGGUCACGAUCGAGCUUCAUUCAGCAUUGACCAGCCUGACAGCAACGGGGUUGUAGACGAGAUUAAAAGGUACGUUGAUGCGAGAUGGGUUACUCCACCGGAGGCGAUGUGGAGGAUAUUCGGCUUCAACCUUUCUGAGAGUUUCCCGUCAGUCCUACAGUUGCCGCUUCAUCUCCCUAAUAUGAAUAGUGUCACAUUCAAAGCAGGAGAGGACCUGACCGAUGUCGUCGCCCGUGAUACUGCAUCUAAGUCAAUGCUGACAGAGUAUUUCCUCGCUAAUCAGCAGCACGUGUGGGCUCGGGAUAUCCUGUACAAGGACUUUCCGGGAAGUUUCACAUGGCAGAGACAGAAAUACUGGAAGCGGAGAGAAAAGCAGCACCAAGUAGGUCGAAUCGUGUCAGCCCAUCCAGCCGAGGGGGAGCGGUACUUUCUGCGAGUGCUGCUUAACCACGUUCCAGGCAAGACAUCCUUCGAGGACCUGCGGACCGUGGAUGGAGUGCUAUGUGCUAGCUUCCGUGAGGCUGCCGAGAGAUUGGGCCUCAUUGAGGCCGACAACACACUUGACGAGUGUCUUACAGAGUCAACACAGUUUGCAAUGCCAGCCUCACUCAGGAGGCUCUUUGCAACUAUCUUGGUAUUCUGCGAGCCAGGUGACGUGCGCGGUCUAUGGGAUAGGCACCUAGACGCGAUGUCUGAUGGCUACCGUCGAACUCACGCGUGCUCAAAGGCAGUGGAGCAGAUGGUGUUGCUUGACAUCAGGGGCAUGCUACAGUCCAUGGGCAAAGACAUAGCAUUGUUCCCUCUUCCGGGCAUCGACGAGACCUAUGACACUACUGGAGGUGAGGCCAGAGAAGUCACCGAGGAGUCCGCCAUCAAGGUUGACGCGAACGACGCUGAUUUGGCGUCCUCGCUAAACCCUGAGCAGAGGCUUGCAUAUGAUGAGAUACUGGCAGCAGUUGAUGCUGGUGAUGGUGGUGUAUUCUUUGUCGAUGGCCCGGGAGGCACCGGGAAGACCUUCCUAUACAGGUCACUUCUCGCAAAGGUUCAAGGCGAGGGCAAGAUCGCGCUAGCUACAGCGACGUCAGGCGUCGCGGCUUCCAUCAUGCCUGGAGGAAGGACAGCCCACUCGAGGUUCAAGAUCCCACUCAACAUUGAAGAUAGGGGGUCGUGCAGCUUCACGAAGCAAAGUGGGACGGCCAAGCUCCUGCACAUGUCUUCACUCAUCCUAUGGGACGAGGCCACCAUGACGAAGCGGCAAGCGGUUGAGGCACUAGACAAUAGCAUGCGGGACAUCAUAGGACGACGGGACCGACCAUUCGGGGGAAAGACAGUCGUGUUCGGUGGGGACUUCAGGCAGGUGCUUCCGGUCGUCAGGAAGGGGUCACGGGGUCAGAUAAUCAAUGCGACCCUACGGAGUUCGUACCUUUGGAACGGCAUGCGCCAGCUAAGGCUCGUCACCAACAUGAGGGCGCAUAACGACCCGUGGUACGCAGAUUACUUGCUACGGGUAGGUAACGGGACCGAGGAAACUGACGAGGAAGGCAACAUAAGGCUCCCCGAAGAUAUUUGUGUGCCGCCAACAGGAGACGGCGCUGACCUAGAGAAGCUAAUCGACCAUGUAUUUCCUGCUCUGGACGACAACAUGGCUGAUCCAAAUUACAUGACAUCUCGAGCGAUCCUCUCCACCAAGAACGACAACAUUGAUAAGAUAAAUACGCGCAUGAUAGAGUGCUUCCAGGGCGAAGAGAAGAUCUACCACAGUUUUGAUAGUGCAGAGGAUGAUCCACACGGCUACUAUGCCCCCGAAUUCCUUAAUAACCUGACUCCCAACGGGCUGCCUCCGCAUGCACUCAAACUAAAGAUAAAUUGCCCUGUUAUACUGUUGAGAAACAUUGAUCCAGCUAAUGGGUUGUGUAACGGCACAAGGCUUGUGGUCCGGGGUUUUCAGAGGAACGCCAUUGAUGCAGAAAUCGUGCUAGGACAACAUGCUGGUAGGAGGGUGUUCCUUCCUCGGAUACCUCUCUGCCCAUCCGAUGCCGAUAUAUUCCCUUUCAAGUUCAAGAGGAAGCAGUUCCCUAUUAGGCUCAGCUUUGCCAUGACAAUCAACAAGGCGCAAGGGCAGACCAUCCCAAUUGUGGGGGUGUACCUACCGGACCCGGUUUUCUCUCACGGUCAGCUCUACGUCGCAUUGUCUAGAGCCACAGCGAAGAGGAACAUUAAGAUUCUCGCCAUCAAGGACAAUGGCAAGGGUAAGGGCAAGGGUAAGGAAGAAAGCAAGAAUUCAAAGAAGCGAAAAAGAUCUGAGCCCUUAUUAACGACCAUGAAGAACAUAGUGUACAAGGAAGUCCUUAGCACAUGA